rnacentral:misc_RNA from 1 species
AAUCCUCAACCUACAAGCUUUUGUGGUUUGUAGGCUUGGACUUGGAGGCUUGUCGGCCGUUAUCGGUCGGCUCCUCUUAAAUGCAUUAGCUUGGUUCCUUGCGGAUCGGCUCUCGGUGUGAUAAUGUCUACGCCGCGACCGUGAAGCGUUUGGCGAGCUUCUAACCGUCUUAUAAGACAGCUUUAUGACCU